UAUGUGCUGUUGACAACAUGUCGUUCGACUUUAAAAACUUUAUACCUAUACAGCUUGCUAUUUAAGUCUCUUAAUCGAGCGUUUAGUACACGUCCCUAAAUUAUUGUCAGCCAAAUGUCAACAGGCAAUAAACUGGAAUUUCACUGAAGUUCAAGCAACACAGCAUUGAGUAAUAACUGAAAUAAAAGUUGUUCCAAAAUGAAUAUCCACUCUUCCGACUUUCUGGGGCAGAACUAAUAAAAUUGGUUAUACUUCUAGCUUCAUGAAAAAUUAUAUUACAAGAAACUUGAUUAACUCAAAGUGUUUAAGUUAUUUUUUAAAAGAUGCUUUAAAUUGCGCUUCAUGCAAAAAAUACAAAGAUAAAACAUAAAACGUACAAAACUAAAAAAAAAUACUGAUAUUUAAAAGUUUUUCAAAUAUAAUUAUAUAAAUAAAAUAAAUAAUACCUACAUACAAUUUUUAAAUUAGCAACCGCAACCAAAAAUGUGUAUUUUCACCUAAAAUGACAUUUUAAGUAUUGUAAACUUUUAAAACAUUUAUUAAUGUACACAUUAAUUAUGUACGUAUUUCCUAUACAUUUUGUGUAUCUUGAAAUAAUAAAAAAAAUGAAACCAUAA